GAAAGGAAUACGUAAUACCGCGUAAGGCCACACUUACUAAGGUGAGAGUGGUAAAAGGUGCCUCAAAGCACCACCAGAGGAUGAGCCUGCGUCCCAUCAGCUUGUUGGUAAGGUAAUGGCUUACCAAGGCGAAGACGGGUAGCUGGUCUGAGAGGAUGAUCAGCCACACUGGUACUGGAACACGGACCAGACUCCUACGGGAGGCAGCAGUGAGGAAUAUUGGGCAAUGGGCGAAAGCCUGACCCAGCCACGCCGCGUGUGUGAUGAAGGCCUUCGGGUCGUAAAGCACUGUGGGGAGAGACGAAACCGCGCACCAGGAAAUGGGCGCGUCUUGACGGUACCUCCUUAGCAAGCACCGGCUAACUCUGUGCCAGCAGCCGCGGUAAUACAGAGGGUGCAAACGUUGCUCGGAUUUACUGGGCGUAAAGCGCGUGUAGGCGGACUCGCAAGUCGGUUGUGAAAUCCCUGGGCUCAACCUAGGAACUGCAUCCGAAACUGCUUGUCUUGAGUAAUGGGGAGGGUGGCGGAAUUCCCGGUGUA
rnacentral:rRNA from 1 species